GACGUAGGGGGCCAGCGUUGUUCGGAAUUACUGGGUGUAAAGGGUUCGUAGGCGGUGUGGCAAGUCGGGAGUGAAAUCUCUGGGCUCAACCCGGAGUCUGCUUCCGAAACUGCUGUGCUUGAGUGUGGGAGAGGCGCGUGGAAUUGCAGGUGUAGCGGUGAAAUGCGUAGAUAUCUGCAGGAACACCCGUGGCGAAAGCGGCGCGCUGGACCACUACUGACGCUGAGGAACGAAAGCUAGGGGAGCAAACAGG
rnacentral:rRNA from 1 species